AAAUGAAUAGACGGGGGCCCGCACAAGCGGUGGAUUAUGUGGUUUAAUUCGAUGAUACGCGAGGAACCUUACCAAGGCUUAAAUGGGAAAUGACAGGUUUAGAAAUAGACUUUUCUUCGGACAUUUUUCAAGGUGCUGCAUGGUUGUCGUCAGCUCGUGCCGUGAGGUGUUAGGUUAAGUCCUGCAACGAGCGCAACCCCUGUCACUAGUUGCCAUCAUUAAGUUGGGGACUCUAGUGAGACUGCCUACGCAAGUAGAGAGGAAGGUGGGGAUGACGUCAAAUCAUCACGGCCCUUACGCCUUGGGCCACACACGUAAUACAAUGGCCGGUACAGAGGGCAGCUACACUGCGAAGUGAUGCAAAUCUCGAAAGCCGGUCUCAGUUCGGAUUGGAGUCUGCAACUCGACUCUAUGAAGCUGGAAUCGCUAGUAAUCGCGCAUCAGCCAUGGCGCGGUGAAUACGUUCCCGGGCCUUGUACACACCGCCCGU
rnacentral:rRNA from 1 species